GGCCGUUCUUAGUUGGUGGA
rnacentral:ncRNA from 2 species